rnacentral:lncRNA from 1 species
UUGAACCUACUAGAUACACCACCUUAAUCUAAUCGAAGUGCCUUGAUAUGUUUAACAAAUAGGUUAUCUGAUUUUACCUUAAAUUCAAUGAAUUUGAAUUUAUCCAAGGCAUCGGAUUUCCUAUCUUCAUAUCGAAACCUAGAGUAUUUAUUAGUAAAAUUAUCAAAUACCCAUGUUUUCCAUGCAUAAACAUAAAAAGGUUUAUACACGUCAGUAUGUACUGACUCCAAACAUUCCUUGGUCCCAAGUCCUUUUAGAAAUAAAGGGGGUCUUUUGGUCAUCUUACUAUCUAUACAAUAUUCGUAGACUGAAAGAUCCUCUAGAAUAAAAGUGUCCAGACUUGAGAUCAAUCUUUGGAUUCUAUUUAGAUUAAUAUGACCUAGGCAUUAGAAGCCAAAUGUUUGAUUAAUGCUAGGUUCUUUCUUUUAGUGAGAUCUUACUAUCAUUACAUGGCAAAGUGAUAAUGGAGUCUCACAUAAAAAAGGAAAUACCUCCCACUAACUUACACAACUAACCUUGCAACUAAAGUUAAGGUAAGUACAAUCCUAUCAAGUGACCUUCUCACUUGUUGAUAAUGGGCCUAGAAUCUAUCCACCAUAAUUGGUGAAAUCCACCACUAUGAGUUCAACAACGAGAACAUGUUGUGUACUUGCCUAUCCUUAGGCACUCCAAGAAUUCAUUUUCUAAUGUCUUAAAAGGUCAUAAAGGAAUCAUUCCCUAUAAGUUUGUUCUCUCAUUCCUUUUCUUGAACUUUACUUAUUUGGUGUUGUUCUUCUUAUUCUUGGUAGAAGAGCCUGAAGAACCUUGACUUCCAUAUGUACACCCUUCUACUAUUUUAGAAUCUUCUUACCCAUCCAAAAGGAAUUUGGUAAGACCUCUAAGAUAAUAUGAAUCCUAGUAUUCAUAAUAUUCCUAAGGGUAACUUGUCUAGUUGACAACCUUUAUCACCAAAUAACCCUUGCAACUUUAAAAAUAAAUCAUAGACCAUGGCAAUGGACAUGUGUUGCUUUUUCAACACAUUAUCUAACGAUCUAAGUAUGAGACACUUAGUUUUUUGAUCUAUCUUAUGCCACUUUUGAUAUGCUUCUCUUACUUUAUGAUAGGUUUGUUCAAAGGAAAUAACAAACUCUUAUUAAAUCAACUUUUAUACAAUUAAUACUAUAUUUAGAUUAUUUUCAAUCUAUAACUAGGUCUAAUUUAAACAUGAGAUAAGAGGUGACAUGUUAAAGACAUGAUAUCUAUAAUAAAUAUAAUAAUUCCAUGUAUUAAUAAAACGAACUUAACAUUCAAGGCAAGUUGGUAAUUAAUUUAGCAAAAAUGUAGUGCUUUGAAACUACACGUCCUUUUACAAGGUAUCCUAGUAUCAUAAGAAUCAAGCCUCACUACAAGAAAUAGGAUUUUAGGUGACGGUCCUCAACCAUCACCAAAUCUUAUAUAUCCGUGACCAAAACCUAUCGUCACGGUCUUAUGAAAUCGUGAUCGAACAUCACAGUACGAGGCGUAGCUAAAGGUAUUGGUCAUGGUUUCCUAAGUAAUCAUGACCAUAUGAUUUCUUUUUUUGUGACAGCUAUACAAAAACUGUGACCAAAAGUUAAGAAUACUUUGUUGUUUAUUAGUUGAUUUAGUCAUAGUCAGGUAAUAAGUCGUG